rnacentral:rRNA from 1 species
AAUGGGUCAGCGACUUAUAUUCUGUAGCAAGGUUAACCGAAUAGGGGAGCCGAAGGGAAACCGAGUCUUAACUGGGCGUUAAGUUGCAGGGUAUAGACCCGAAACCCGGUGAUCUAGCCAUGGGCAGGUUGAAGGUUGGGUAACACUAACUGGAGGACCGAACCGACUAAUGUUGAAAAAUUAGCGGAUGACUUGUGGCUGGGGGUGAAAGGCCAAUCAAACCGGGAGAUAGCUGGUUCUCCCCGAAAGCUAUUUAGGUAGCGCCUCGUGAAUUCAUCUCCGGGGGUAGAGCACUGUUUCGGCAAGGGGGUCAUCCCGACUUACCAACCCGAUGCAAACUGCGAAUACCGGAGAAUGUUAUCACGGGAGACACACGGCGGGUGCUAACGUCCGUCGUGAAGAGGGAAACAACCCAGACCGCCAGCUAAGGUCCCAAAGUCAUGGUUAAGUGGGAAACGAUGUGGGAAGGCCCAGACAGCCAGGAUGUUGGCUUAGAAGCAGCCAUCAUUUAAAGAAAGCGUAAUAGCUCACUGGUCGAGUCGGCCUGCGCGGAAGAUGUAACGGGGCUAAACCAUGCACCGAAGCUGCGGCAGCGACGCUGAUGCGUUGUUGGGUAGGGGAGCGUUCUGUAAGCCUGUGAAGGUGUGCUGUGAGGCAUGCUGGAGGUAUCAGAAGUGCGAAUGCUGACAUAAGUAACGAUAAAGCGGGUGAAAAGCCCGCUCGCCGGAAGACCAAGGGUUCCUGUCCAACGUUAAUCGGGGCAGGGUGAGUCGACCCCUAAGGCGAGGCCGAAAGGCGUAGUCGAUGGGAAACAGGUUAAUAUUCCUGUACUUGGUGUUACUGCGAAGGGGGGACGGAGAAGGCUAUGUUGGCCGGGCGACGGUUGUCCCGGUUUAAGCGUGUAGGCUGGUUUUCCAGGCAAAUCCGGAAAAUCAAGGCUGAGGCGUGAUGACGAGGCACUACGGUGCUGAAGCAACAAAUGCCCUGCUUCCAGGAAAAGCCUCUAAGCAUCAGGUAACAUCAAAUCGUACCCCAAACCGACACAGGUGGUCAGGUAGAGAAUACCAAGGCGCUUGAGAGAACUCGGGUGAAGGAACUAGGCAAAAUGGUGCCGUAACUUCGGGAGAAGGCACGC